AUUGAACGCUGGCGGCAUGCUUUACACAUGCAAGUCGAACGGCAGCGCGGGCUUCGGCCUGGCGGCGAGUGGCGAACGGGUGAGUAAUGCAUCGGAACGUGCCCAGUAGUGGGGGAUAGCGCGGCGAAAGCCGGAUUAAUACCGCAUACGACCUGAGGGUGCGAGCGGGGGAGCGAAAGGCCUCGCGCUAUUGGAGGGGGCGAUGUCGGAUUAGCUAGUUGGUGGGGUGAAGGCUUACCAAGGCGACGAUCCGUAGCUGGUCUGAGAGGACGACCAGCCACACUGGGACUGAGACACGGCCCAGACUCCUACGGGAGGCAGCAGUGGGGAAUUUUGGGCAAUGGGGGCAACCCUGAUCCAGCCAUGCCGCGUGCGGGAAGAAGGCCUUCGGGUUGUAAACCGCUUUUGUUCGGGAAGAAAUCCUCUGGGCUAAUACCCCGGGGGGAUGACGGUACCGGAAGAAUAAGCACCGGCUAACUACGUG
rnacentral:rRNA from 1 species